rnacentral:rRNA from 1 species
GAAUUCACUAGUGAUUUCUGGUUGAUCCUGCCAGACCCGACUGCUAUCAGAGUGGGACUAAGCCAUGCGAGUCAACGCAGCAAUGCGUGGCGAACGGCUCAGUAACACGUAGUCAACAUGCCCAGGGGACGUGGAUAACCUCGGGAAACUGAGAUUAAACCGCGAUAGGUCAAGAUUUCUGGAAUGGAUCGUGUCUUAAAUCUACAUGGCCCCUGGAUUGGACUGCGGCCGAUCAGGCUGUUGGUGAGGUAAUGGCCCACCAAACCUAUAACCGGUACGGGCUCUGAGAGGAGAAGCCCGGAGAUGGGCACUGAGACAAGGGCCCAGGCCCUAUGGGGCGCAGCAGGCGCGAAACCUCUGCAAUGGGCGAAAGCCUGACAGGGUUACUCUGAGUGAUUUCCGCUAAGGAGAUCUUUUGGCAGCUCUAAAAAUGGUGCAGAAUAAGGGGUGGGCAAGUCUGGUGUCAGCCGCCGCGGUAAUACCAGCACCCCGAGUGGUCGGGACGAUUAUUGGGCCUAAAGCAUCCGCAGCCGGUUGUGCAAGUCCUCCGUUAAAUCCAGCCGCUCAACGGAUGGGCUGCGGAGGAUACUACAGGACUAGGAGGCGGGAGAGGCAAGCGGUACUUAGUGGGUAGGGGUAAAAUCCUUUGAUCCAUUGAAGACCACCAGUGUCGAAGGCGGCUUGCCAGAACGCGCUCGACGGUGAGGGAUGAAAGCUGGGGGAGCAAACCGGAUUAGAUACCCGGGUAGUCCCAGCUGUAAACGAUGCAGACUCGGUGAUGGGCUAGCCUCGUGUCAGCCCAGUGCCGCAGGGAAGCCGUUAAGUCUGCCGCCUGGGGAGUACGGUCGCAAGACUGAAACUUAAAGGAAUUGGCGGGGGAGCACCACAAGGGGUGAAGCCUGCGGUUCAAUUGGAUUCAACGCCGGGAAUCGAAUUCCCGCGGCC